UACGUAGGGUGCGAGCGUUGUCCGGAAUUAUUGGGCGUAAAGAGCUCGUAGGCGGUUUGUCGCGUCUGCUGUGAAAACCCGAGGCUCAACCUCGGGCCUGCAGUGGGUACGGGCAGACUAGAGUGCGGUAGGGGAGAUUGGAAUUCCUGGUGUAGCGGUGGAAUGCGCAGAUAUCAGGAAGAACACCGGUGGCGAAGGCGGCUCUCUGGGCCUUACCUGACGCUGAGGAGCGAAAGCGUGGGUAGCGAACAGG
rnacentral:rRNA from 1 species